UUGGAACGCGUUUGUGGCCUUGAGUCUCCGUGAUCAGCUGUGCUGUUAACAGGGCGGCUGGCAUGAACUGUUUUUCCAGAGAGUCCCUACAUCCUGGGAUAAGUCUCCCCGAAGUAACCAAGGUGGGGGAAAAAAGAGAUUCACCUGGAGGACCCCUUGCAGCUGAUCAUCUCAAAGCACCAAACAUUAAACAAUGAAUCCUAACACCACCUGUGUGAAGUAGAUGGUAUUAUUCUCAUUACACUGAUGGGACACUGAGGCAG